rnacentral:rRNA from 1 species
AGUGAACGCUGGCGGUAGGCCUAACACAUGCAAGUCGAACGGCAGCACAGUAAGAGCUUGCUCUUACGGGUGGCGAGUGGCGGACGGGUGAGGAAUACAUCGGAAUCUACUUUUUCGGGGGGGAUAACGUAGGGAACCUUACGCUAAUACCGCAUAUGACCUACGGGUGAAAGCAGUGGAUCUUCGGACCUUGCGCGAUUGAAUGAGCCGAUGUCGGAUUAGCUAGUUGGCGUGGUAAAGGCCCACCAAGGCGACGAUCCGUAGCUGGUCUGAGAGGAUGAUCAGCCACACUGGAACUGAGACACGGUCCAGACUCCUACGGGAGGCAGCAGUGGGGAAUCUUGGACAAUGGGCGCAAGCCUGAUCCAGCCAUACCGCGUGAGUGAAGAAGGCCUUCGGGUUGUAAAGCCCUUUUGUUGGGAAAGAAAAGCAGCAGGUUAAUACCCCGCUGUUCUGACGGUACCCAAAGAAUAAGCACCGGCUAACUUCGUG